rnacentral:tRNA from 1 species
GCCGGCGUGGUGUAGCGGUCGGCACGCUCGGCGCGUAACCGAGAUGUCCGUGGUUCGAGUCCCAGCGAGGGCU